rnacentral:lncRNA from 1 species
UCCCCUUCGCUGCCUCUUUCAAUCUUGCAGGACUAAUGUGUCCUGCUUGGAUGAAUAAUAUCCAACAGUCAGCGUGAAGGCACAGGCGUCUGAGCUUGGCUCAUUUGAGAAAUAGCCACACUGUUUUCCACAAUGGUUGAACUAAUUUACAUUCCUGCCAACAGUGUAAAAGCGUUCCUAUUUCUCCACAGGAGAGGCCCUAUAUUUUGACUGUGCACUGGAGCCUGCAAACUACAUAGCUGGUUCUGACUGGGGCUGUUGGCCACAACAUCUUCACAUGGCCCUUCCAUGGGGCCUGGGCUCUCUCACAGCAUGACAGCUGGGUCCAGGUGUAAGAGUUUCCAGAAAGAGAGAGGGAGAGAAACAGAGACACAGAGAGACAGAAGAGAGGGAAGGUGAGGGGGAGGGAGAGGGAGAAAUAUAGCUUAGCUGACUCUUCCUUUAAAGAUCCACUCAGAAGUCCCUUUCUGGG